GACGAACGCUGGCGGCGUGCCUAAUACAUGCAAGUAGAACGCAGUUGCGAACGGGUGAGUAACGCGUAGGUAACUGCCUCAUAGCGGGGGAUAACUAUUGGAAACGAUAGCUAAUACCGCAUACUGUGAGAUGGACCUGCGUGGUAUUAGCUAGUUGGGGAGGUAAAGGCUCACCAAGGCGACGAUACAUAGCCGACCUGAGAGGGGGAUCGGCCACACCGAGACUGGGACCCGGCACAGACUCCUACGGGAUGCAGCAGUAGGAAAUAUUCAGCAAUGGACGGAAGGCUGACCGAGCAACGCCGCGUAAGUGAAGAAGGUUUUCGGAUCGUAAAGCUCUGUUGUUAGAGAAGCGGUAGCUAACCGGAAAUGGACGGCUAACUACGUGCCAGCAACCGCGGUAAUUC
rnacentral:rRNA from 1 species